CAGUCGCCGCGGUAAUACGGAGGGGGCUAGCGUUGUUCGGAAUUACUGGGCGUAAAGCGCACGUAGGCGGCUUUGUAAGUUAGAGGUGAAAGCCCGGAGCUCAACUCCGGAAUUGCCUUUUAGACUGCAUCGCUUGAAUCCAGGAGAGGUGAGUGGAAUUCCGAGUGUAGAGGUGAAAUUCGUAGAUAUUCGGAAGAACACCAGUGGCGAAGGCGGCUCACUGGACUGGUAUUGACGCUGAGGUGCGAAAGCGUGGGGAGCAAACAGGAUUAGAUACCCCCGUAGUCCCUGUCUCUUAUAC
rnacentral:rRNA from 1 species